AGCAGCCGCGGUAAUUCCAGCUCCAAUAGCGUAUAUUAAAGUUGUUGCAGUUAAAAAGCUCGUAGUUGAAUUUCGGGGUUAGCAGGUCGGUCGUGCCAUCGGUAUGAACUGGUCUCGCUGAUCCCUCCCUCUUGACGAACUGUGAUGCCAUUAAUUUGGUGUCGCAGGGAAUCAGGACCGUUACUUUGAAAAAAUUAGAGUGUUUAAAGCAGGCUCGCGCUUGAAUACAUUAGCAUGGAAUAAUGAAAUAGGACGUUUGAUUCUAUUUUGUUGGUUUCUAGGAUCGACGUAAUGAUUAAUAGGGAUAGUUGGGGGCAUUAGUAUUCAAUUGUCAGAGGUGAAAUUCUUGGAUUUAUUGAAGACUAACUACUGCGAAAGCAUUUGCCAAGGAUGUUUUCAUUAAUCAAGAACGAAAGUUAGGGGAUCGAAGACGAUCAGAUACCGUCGUAGUCGUUAACCAUAAACCUAUGCCGAUUAGGGAUCGGAUGAUGUUAAUUUUUAAUGUACUCCUUCGGUCCG
rnacentral:rRNA from 1 species